rnacentral:rRNA from 1 species
CGUACACUCCUGCGGGAGGCAGCAGUGGGGAAUAUUGCACAAUGGGCGCAAGCCUGAUGCAGCCAUGCCGCGUGUAUGAAGAAGGCCUUCGGGUUGUAAAGUACUUUCAGCGGGGAGGAAGGCAAUACGGUUAAUAACCGUGUUGAUUGACGUUACCCGCAGAAGAAGCACCGGCUAACUCCGUGCCAGCAGCCGCGGUAAUACGGAGGGUGCAAGCGUUAAUCGGAAUUACUGGGCGUAAAGCGCACGCAGGCGGUCUGUCAAGUCGGAUGUGAAAUCCCCGGGCUCAACCUGGGAACUGCAUUCGAAACUGGCAGGCUUGAGUCUUGUAGAGGGGGGUAGAAUUCCAGGUGUAGCGGUGAAAUGCGUAGAGAUCUGGAGGAAUACCGGUGGCGAAGGCGGCCCCCUGGACAAAGACUGACGCUCAGGUGCGAAAGCGUGGGGAGCAAACAGGAUUAGAAACCCGAGUAGUCCCAUGA